AGCGAUUUACGCAGGCGUUACUGAGUCUGUCGUUUCCGGCUUUGUUGUAAUCGUGACUUGUGCAGCGUAUGGUGAAAUAUAUCCGCGCAGUUGUUUAAUCGUCGAUAAUGUUACGUAGUUGGCCGUGAUAUAGUUGGAAAACACAUUAACAAAUCGUCGGAAGAUAAUAAGGGAGCAACGUAUUGCAGGACUAGGUUGCUUGCAGUACUGAAUCAAAAUGGAAUCAAUGGAUGCGCGCCUUGUGGCGCAAGCAUUGAACUACCAUGGUCAACAGUUGCAGAAAGUGUGGGAAGGAGAACGCAACGAGAAUGAGCUGGCCAUGCUCAAUCUCAAGGAACCAAAUUUUGAGAUCUAUCAACAACGUCAAAAGACUUUGAGUUUUGGUGAUAGAGGAAAAAGGCUAAAGCUACAGCAGUUCUUAGCAAAGAAAGCUGAUGCCCUUUAUGAUAAAUCAAAUUUGGAGAAAACAGUCGAACCUAUUAAGCAAGAAUUAGGAGAUGAAGAAUUUUAUGCAACAAUGCCAGGCCUUGAUACUUUUGUCACCAUGGAAAAAUCUCAACGUAUUCGUAAUUUUUUGGAGAGUUUGGUCAUUGGAGAUGUUAUUUACGCGCAAGUGAUGGGUAAAAGUGCUGCUGGUCUUCUUCUGAAGGUGCUUUGCAACUGCAGCGAUUGCCCCAGAGUUGUUACCGAUUUAGGAGUUAAGGCUCUAAUAUUGAACACGGCCACAGUGCCGGCAGUGGACAAGAAAGGUGUAACAAGAGGCUACAUGGCAAAUGAUCUCAUCUGCGUCGUAGUCAGUGAAGUUAACGUUGAAGCUGAGCGAGUUGUUGCAGUUAUGAACGUACCUGCCCGUGAAGGGCAAGCACCACACCCACCUAUGGGACUUAUCCAUUCUGAUGAUCUUCCAGAAGCUUAUAAGAAAGCGAUGGACAACAAAGGACAAUCUUAUGAAGCGAUGUUGGAGAAUAGUACUGGCUUCAACAACCCGAACAACAUUAAAUAUCUUUGCGACGUGAUGGGUCUUGGACAAGAGAACCAUUCCAAUAUGGUUGGUUUAAGAGAAAAGUUUCCACCCAAUGAAUAUGCAUCCGAAUUAAGACAGGCACAGGCUAGUAAAUGGGCAUUCCGAAGCGUGGCUGAAGGUAUAGAUCAUUUCAAAGCUGGACGUCAUACGGAAGCCUUCCAGUGUCUCAAUAAGGCACUUACCGUAGAUCCGCGAAACGUUGAAGGAUUAGUGGCCCGUGGAGCAUUAUAUGCAAAUAGUGGUAGUUUCAAGAAAGCAAUUGAUGAUUUUGAGACAGCGUUGAAAUUAAAUCAGACUCAUACGAAUGCCCGUAAAUACAUGGCUGAGACUCUUGUUGCUCUAGGUCGAAGUUAUGAAGAUGAAAAGAAGUACGAAGACGCUCAAAAAGCAUAUGAAAAUUGCUUGGCGAUUGCUCCAUUCCAUGAAGAAGCUAGGAAUUCUAUUGAAUACAUCAAGUCUAAGACAUUAACAUCUUCUUUGAAUCCUUUGGAUACGUUCAAGAGUUUUGAAACUGAGAAUGAUGUCAGUGAAAAUAAAAAAGAAAAGAAGAAACGUAAGAAGGAAAGGAAAUUGCGUUCAAAGAAAAGGCAGAGAUGGAGUUCCAGUUCUAGUUCGUCAUCAAGUGGAUCUUCGAGUUCCUCCAGUUCUGAAUCCAGCAGUUCUUCUUCGUCCGCAAGUUCACGAUCAGCAUCCCGAUCGCCUAGUCGCAAACGAAAACACAAGAAAGAUCAUCGUGGUUCACUUUCACCGCUUAGCAAACGCAUGGCUCAAUAUAAUAAUCCACCAGCUGCUGCUACUACAGCUACGCAUGAUGUAAUCGCUCCAGUAUCUUACAGUUCUAAUACUCGAGAUAAAAUGGAUGACUAUGAAAUAAAAGUACGGAAAUUCUUAGAGCAAACGAAGGACGACUCUGAUUACGAAGAUAAAGUAAGGAAAUUCUUAGAAGAAACUGCUAGAUGGAAGAGAGAAAGAGAGAAGGAAAAGAAACAUUCAGAGAGUGAGAAAAUGAAGAAAAAGAAGAAGAAGGAAAAGAAAGGAAAAGAUAAAGAAAAAGAGGAUAAAAAAAGCAGGAAGAAGAAGAAGAAAGAAGAAAGGAAAAAACGCAAAAAUAAGGACAAACUCGAACGAGAUUUAGAAGCUUUGAAGAAAUCAUCAUUGCCGGAUUUAGAACAAUUGGAAUCAAAACUGAAUGCAUAUUAUGCAAAAGUUGAAAAAGAGACUGCUGUCCUGAAAAGGUAUGUAGCUCAGUAUAAUGACAUAGCUUCCCCUCUUAGCAACGCGGAGAAGCUCGCUGAAAGUUCGCGAAGAGAGGAAGAGCUGCGCAGGGAGAAGGAAAGAGAAAGGGAUGAAGCUUCAAAAGCAUAUCACGAACGAGAAGCUAGAAUACCAAUGACCGCACAGCAGCGUAAAGAUCCGUUUAAUUUUAUAUUUUUUACAGAAAUUCAGAGGAAACCGCUCACGGACAUAUUUGAGCAAGAGUCUCAACUGAUUCAUCCUGAACCAAAAUUACCUACUCUCGAUACAGCUGCAUUGAAUGCAAAGUGGAAAGCCGCACAGGCUGCUAGACAAAAGGAUGUUCUUCCGCAAAAAUGGCAAGAUGUAUCAGCAGAGAAUAAAAAGAUGCAGUCAAAUGUAGAUAGUGAUGAAGAUGAUGAUAAUGAGUUGGAAGAGAAGCUGCAACGUACGGCAUUGGAAAAAUCUAUGAAUAUACGGAAACAAAUGCAGCGUGAACUCGCGGAAAAGAGAGCAGCAGCUGCUCAGCCCAUGUCUGCCCCGACUCCACCGCCAUUACCCAAAGAACCGGUAAAAUAUCCCACGCCACAACCGCAGAACAAAUUCCAAUCAUAUAAGGAUCCUUCUAUAUCUGCUCCUCAAACAACACCAACGAAGUUUAGUUCUAGUAACAAUCUUGGUGGCAAAUUCCAACCUAUUGGACAAAGCGGUAAUACCGGUGCUGGUCACCCACCAGAACCACCGCGUCCUCCUCCACUAGCAAAGAACCAAAAUCAAGCUAAAGGUCCUAGAACAGAUUCCGAUAGCGAGACAGAAAGGCAACAUAGACAACCAUCUAAGAAACGUGAAUCGAGCGGUAGAGGAGGAACCGUGACUAAGAGAAUGAGCAGAGAUCGCCCAGUGAAACGAUCACGGAGCAGAUCGCGCAGUGCCUCCAGUUCAGGUUCUUCGAGGUCUCGUUCACCCAGAAGAAGUCGUUCAAGAUCAUAUUCGAAUCGAAGAUCUGGAAGUUACGAGAGAAAAUAUAGUCGAUCUCCAUCGGGCACAUACAGUAGAUCACGUUCUAGAUCACGUUCCCGAUCUUAUACUAGAAGUCGCAGUCGCAGUAGAUCCGGAGAUAGAAGUUACUAUCGCAAGAGACAAUUCCGACCAUACAAUAACCGCGGCACUUAUUAUAAACCACGUUUCCAGGGUUUCAAUAAUCCAAAUCAUCGCGGUGGUGGUAACAAUUUCCAAAAUCGUAAUCGAUUCUAUAAUAAUCAACACAACAAUCGUUUUGGCAACAGACGUGGCGGUGGUUUUAAUAAUCGUGGUGGUGGACGCGGACGUGGCGGUAAUCGUGGUGGUAGAUUUUUCCACGGUAAGCAGGGCUUCCGCGAUUUCCGAGAUAGGCGUGACUUCAGAGAUCGUCGUGCCGCUUCUCGCGAUAGAUACAGCGAUCGUAGUUAUUCUCCCGAUCCGAUGAGAAAAGUCGACGAAGCAAAAGAGAAGAUCAACAAAAUGCUCGAAGGGGGAGAUGACGUUAUGGAGCAUCAACAAGGUAGUGGAGGAUCGAAUGCUCCUCCUAGUAAAAGGCAAGAUGGACCUUUAAGCGAAGGCGAAGAAAGGGACGACGAUGACUACGAGAGGUGGGGAGAGGGCGAGGGGGGCGACACAGCUAACAAGGUUGGUUAGGUCUCUUCUGUGUAGGCUUUUGCAAAAGACUAGCCUAUCUUCGUGAUGACGAUCAUGAUAAUCCGGAUGAUAAUAUGAGGAAUAAAUAAUGAGGAUAAUGAUGAUGAUGAUGGUGAUGAGCCACACGCGCAAGAGAAACGCGACCUAGGAGCCAACUAACUCUCGUUUGUUACUAGAAUGAGGUUGGACCUGUCGACGAUAACCUGGAAGGCAAGGAGUACUUCAUUGAGCGCAUGAAGCAGCGAAGCAAGAAUGUUUUAAUGCAGAGAACCCUUGCUGCUAAGGUUUGGUAGAAAUCCCGUUGCCGUUGCUGCUUCUUCGAUUCUUCUCCUUCAUCUGUGAUAUAGUUACUUCUCCUCAACGUUAAACAUCAACCGGAUCACGUGAGACAUAGACCUCUUACUCUAUUCUUAUACCGAAUAUUUUCGGUAUAUUUAAAACAAAGUCUAGAGGGGGAUAUAUUGUAAGGAAAAACGUACAACAGUGCUAAUGACGGUUGCGAGAAAUGUACUUUUUUCUUUCGAUUUUUUAACUUUAUCAGAGUUAACAAUAAUCGCGUAAAAUACGGAAUUAUAUCGAAUGAAUAUAAAUCGAGGCCGUUUCCCUCAAUUGUUAUAGUUUUGCACAUGAAUAUUUACAUGGUAAAUAUUCGUGAUAUAAUACAUAUAAAUGUGCGUUUCUCGCACAUUCAUACACUUGAUAACACUUGAUAACUUGUUUGUACCGCGUGAAAUUAAUGAACAUCUAUAAACUUGUGAUUUUCCCCUCCUUUUUUUUCUUUAAUUGUUAACCAAAAAAAAAAAAAAAAAA